AUGCUCGCUCCAGUGCUAGUGAUUUGUUCUGCCAGAAAAUGCUUGCUACAGUUCAAUAAUGGAGGGAGGAAACAGCUGGUCUGCACAUUCGUGAGUGAACAGCAUUUAAUAAGCUUCCAGGGCACAAAAGAAGAAAUGAUGCAACUUGAGGUGGAUCUUGGUGAGGAAGCAAUGCAGCAUGGCAUGAAUUGCCUGCCCCUAUCUGGAAAUCACUUGUGUGAGGUUGCUCCUGGAAUUGCACAUUUUUCAUGGAAGGAACCAAUUAAUCUUUCCCAGUGUUACUGCAGUGCUAUUUACUAUGCUCUGGUGAUCCAUCAUUUGCCCUUCUUUGGCUGCUCCAAUGCGAAUUGUCAUAAUUGUUAUGGCAGCAUGCCUGAAAGUAGGAAUUACCAUCUCAGUGGAGCAGUGGGACACACCAUGUAA
rnacentral:lncRNA from 1 species